GUUUCAAUGGCUGAAUGGUAUAAGAGCUUGCUUUGUAACCAAAAGGUCCUAGGUUCGAAUCCCAGUUGGUGCG
rnacentral:tRNA from 1 species